rnacentral:tRNA from 1 species
UAGCUCAGUUGGUCAGAGUAUGGUGCUAAUAACACCAAGGCUGUGGGUUCGAUCCCUGU